UAAUAGCUCACUGGUCGAGUCGGCCUGCGCGGAAGAUGUAACGGGGCUAAACCAUGCACCGAAGCUGCGGCAGCGACGCUUAUGCGUUGUUGGGUAGGGGAGCGUUCUGUAAGCCUGUGAAGGUGUGCUGUGAGGCAUGCUGGAGGUAUCAGAAGUGCGAAUGCUGACAUAAGUAACGAUAAAGCGGGUGAAAAGCCCGCUCGCCGGAAGACCAAGGGUUCCUGUCCAACGUUAAUCGGGGCAGGGUGAGUCGAC
rnacentral:rRNA from 1 species